AGGAUCGGAAAGUUUGUUGGCAUGAGACUCCUUUUGAGGAGAGACUAGAAAAAGCCUUGUUUGAGGAGACUUUCAUCCGGCAGAGGCGUCAAACCAGCAGGGCGAUAAAUUUUGGAAGCAGCUGAAUUGAGAUUGUAGGCAUUAAACCAGGAGGGUGGUACAAGCAGAUUUUUAUCGCUACCUUCAAGCAUUUCAAGACUGUAGUUUGAG